GCCGGGCGUGGUGGCGGGUGCCUGUAGUCCCAGCUACUUGGGAGGCUGAGGCAGGAGAAUCACUUGAACCCAGGAGGCAGAGGUUGCAGU
rnacentral:SRP_RNA from 1 species